rnacentral:rRNA from 1 species
GAUGAACGCUAGCGGCAGGCUUAAUACAUGCAAGUCGAGGGGCAGCACGGUUAGCAAUAACUGGUGGCGACCGGCGCACGGGUGCGUAACACGUAUACAAUCUACCUUAAACAGGGGGAUAGCCUUUCGAAAGAGAGAUUAAUACCCCGUAAUAAAUUGAACGGCAUCGUUUGAUUUUGAAAGCUCCGGCGGUUUGAGAUGAGUAUGCGUCUGAUUAGCUAGUUGGUGAGGUAACGGCUCACCAAGGCGACGAUCAGUAGGGGAUCUGAGAGGACUAACCCCCACACUGGUACUGAGACACGGACCAGACUCCUACGGGAGGCAGCAGUAAGGAAUAUUGGUCAAUGGAGGCAACUCUGAACCAGCCAUGCCGCGUGCAGGAUGACGGCCCUAUGGGUUGUAAACUGCUUUUAUACAAGAGAAAACCCUGGUACGUGUACCAGGUUGAUAGUAUUGUAAGAAUAAGCAUCGGCUAACUUCGUGCAGCAGCCGCGGUAA